UACGGAGGGUGCAAGCGUUAUCCGGAUUCACUGGGUUUAAAGGGUGCGUAGGUGGGUCUGUAAGUCCGUGGUGAAAUCUCCGAGCUUAACUCGGAAACUGCCAUGGAUACUAUAGAUCUUGAAUACCGUGGAGGAUAGCGGAAUAUGUCAUGUAGCGGUGAAAUGCUUAGAUAUGACAUAGAACACCAAUUGCGAAGGCAGCUGACUACGCGAGUAUUGACACUGAGGCACGAAAGCGUGGGGAUCAAACAGG
rnacentral:rRNA from 1 species